UGAACGCUAGCGACAGGCCUAACACAUGCAAGUCGAGGGGCAGCACAAGGAGCAAUCUGAGGUGGCGACCGGCGCACGGGUGAGUAACACGUAUGCAACCUGCCUGUAAGCGGGGAAUAACCCGUUGAAAGACGGACUAAUACCGCAUAAUACUAAAUUACUGCAUGGUAAUUUAUUUAAACAUUUAUGGCUUACAGAUGGGCAUGCGCAUGAUUAGCUAGUUGGAGAGGUAACGGCUCCCCAAGGCAACGAUCAUUAGGGGUUCUGAGAGGAAGGUCCCCCACACUGGUACUGAGACACGGACCAGACUCCUACGGGAGGCAGCAGUGAGGAAUAUUGGUCAAUGGACGAGAGUCUGAACCAGCCAAGUCGCGUGCAGGAAGAAUGUCCUUAAUGGAUUGUAAACUGCUUUUGCAGGGGAAUAAAGUGCAUCACGUGUGAUGUUUUGUAUGUACUCUGCGAAUAAGGAUCGGCUAACUCCGUGCCAGCAGCGGC
rnacentral:rRNA from 1 species